ensembl:lncRNA
CGGAGGGGGUGAGAACAAGGCAGAGGGGGGGAGAGAGAGAGCGAGGGAGGGAGAGACUGACAAUGCAAAGGGGUGUUAACUCAUCUAGGGCAGCCAGUGCACUCGGAGGCGCGAGGGAGAAGUUGUGGGAAAGUAAAUAGUGCGCGAGGCAGGAGGAUUCCACUCGGGCUCGUGCCACUUGCUGCCCUCGCGCGGGAGAGAGAGAGAGAGACCAGGGAUGGGUCCGAGAGACACGGCCGCGUGACUCAAACCGGGAGGUUUAUAUGGUGAACGCGCCGGGAUACGGAGACCCGCGAACAGGAAUAUUGGCCGAACCUGAAGGAAUUACCCGCAAAGCACAAGGAGGGAUGAUGUCCACCGUGGUGCCCCGGCCACCCCAGAAGGAGGACGAGGAGGAAGAGGAGGACGAAGAGCAAGGAGAGCCGUUUGAGUUUGACGACAGCGCCGACGAGAGUGUUCCUGAAGACGCCGUCGUAAAGCCCCCCCCCUCAACAGCUGAGGCCGCCGACUUGACGACCGAAAAGGUCAAGUGUGAAACGCAGUCAGAGGCCCCAACCGAGGGCAGCGCUGAUCCUCACUCCCAGCAGCCCUGUGUCCACGGCUCCGAUGUCUCCCCCUGCUGGCCAGGAGGGGAACUCCUCCUCGGACGCCCCCCCAACCACCAGCACAGGGCCUCCAUCAACCCCACCACCUCCUCCUCCACCUCCUCCUCCUCCGCAGCAGCAGCGGACCAACCGAGUGCCGCGACUCCUCCUCCUCUUCCUCCUCCCGCCGAGGAAGAGGAGUCCUGCACCUCCCCCGGGGAGGGGAGCCUCGCCCCGGAGGAGCCCUGCGAAGGAGACGCCACGGUCAAGGACGACUGCAGGCUGAGGGAUGACUCUGAAGUGCCCCACAGUGACAGUCUUGAGGUGAUCUAUGAUGACGUCCCCACUGAAUACCUCCCACUAUCUCCUGAUGAAGAGGAUGUGAUCUAUGAAGACGUUCAGAGAGGUGGUCCAGUCAGUGCUGAUAACGGCUGGAGCUCCAGUGAGUUUGAGGACUACGACGACCAGUCUGACAAUGAAGCCAAAGUCCCCACACGCACCAAGGU